CAGCAGCCACGGGAACACGAAGGGUGCAAGCGUUACUCGGAAUUACUGGGCGUAAAGCGUGCGUAGGUGGUGGUUUAAGUCCGUUGUGAAAGCCCUGGGCUCAACCUGGGAAUUGCAGUGGAUACUGGGUCACUAGAGUGUGGUAGAGGAUAGUGGAAUUUCCGGUGUAGCAGUAAAAUGCGUAGAGAUCGGAAGGAACAUCUGUGGCGAAGGCGACUAUCUGGGCCAACACUGACACUGAGGCACGAAAGCGUGGGGAGCAAACAGGAUUAGAUACCCCCGUAGUCCCUGUCUCUUAUAC
rnacentral:rRNA from 1 species